CCUGGUGAAGUGCACAAGACAUUCAAGAUUUUUUGUGGUAAUCUUGCUGGAGCAGCAACAAAGGAUGAUUUACGCUAUCUUUUCUCACAAUACGGGCCAGUUAUUGAGGCUGUUGUCAUGGUUGGCAAGUUCUAUGGAUUUGUGCACAUGGCUUAUGAGGAGGACGGCUGGAAGGCAAUAUGCGAACUUCGGGGCUACAAUCUUCAUGGUAAAGCUAUGGCAGUGGAGGCUUCAAUUAAUUCAGAAAGCUGCACCUGUAUUCAAGCAUAAUAUAAUAGGAAAAGGC